GUUUAAAACCCAAAGAGCCUGGCGGCCUUCAACAGUACUAGGGGAACCUGUGUGGAAAUCGACACUCCACGUUAAUAACUUACCUUUCUUUGAAAUAUUUCAGCCUGUAUACCUCCGCCUUAGCUAACCUUUAAGAGAUUUAUAGCGAGCAAGAAGUGAGCUCCACCAAAUGGCAGGUCACGGUGCAGCUCAUAGGUAAGGGGCAUCAUGGGUGACAAUUCCGGUCAAAAGAAUAAUGGUACUUCUCUUGGAAACAAGGGCAAUGAAACUGGACUAUACAAGUAAGGAGUCCCUUUAGAAAAGCCUGCUGCAAACACUCCCUAGGAAGGUGCACACAUCCGCCCGUCAACUUCUGGCAUCUCCG
rnacentral:rRNA from 1 species